rnacentral:rRNA from 1 species
CGCUGGCGGCGCACAUAAGACAUGCAAGUCGAACGGAAGUCGUUAUAUUGAUUUGAAGAGAACGGAGAACUGUCAAAGGGACAUGAUGAAGAUUAUAACAAUGGCUUUAGUGGCGGACUGGUGAGUAAUACGUAAGCAACCUGCCUAUUAGAGGGGAACAACAGUUAGAAAUGACUGCUAAUACCGCAUAUGCCAUAGUAACCACAUGGUUACAGUGGGAAAGGAGCAAUCCGCUGAUAGAUGGGCUUACGGCUGAUUAGCUAGUUGGUGGGGUAACGGCCUACCAAGGCGACGAUCAGUAGCCGGACUGAGAGGUUAGACGGCCACAUUGGGACUGAGAUACGGCCCAGACUCCUACGGGAGGCAGCAGUCGGGAAUUUUGCGCAAUGGAGGAAACUCUGACGCAGUGACGCCGCGUGCAGGAAGAAGGUUUUCGGAUUGUAAACUGCUUUAGACAGGGAAGAAAAAGGACAGUACCUGUAGAAUAAGCUCCGGCUAACUACGUGCCAGCAGCCGC